rnacentral:lncRNA from 1 species
UUAAAGUCGCAUGAGGCACUUUGCUAGCAGUUCAGGGACAGGUGAAAGGUGUGGAUGAGUAGAUUGUGGGAGAGUCGAUGCCGGCAAAUCUGUAUAUGAUUCUUACCAUGGAAUGGUUGGAUCGGACAUAAGUUGUAUUACCAGUGUGUGAGACCGAUUUUGGGGAGUUUGGUAAUUUCGGCAAUGUAGGUUUUGAAAAUGAUUAGGAAGGG